ensembl:lncRNA LINC00710 long intergenic non-protein coding RNA 710
AGAUCGUACAACCAACGUGGUAAUGCUGGCAUAAUAAUUCCCGGUUGCCAUUUUCUGACAUUUGAAAAGAUCUGAAGAUACGCCCCUUGGAUGCCUGCAGAGAAGCUCUGGGGCUUCAGUCAAUGACUCAGGGUAGCCACCGAACAUGAUGCUCGGGCAGUGGGUGCCACCUGGACUCCACUCUCCCCUCUCUCUGGGAUCAUAGAGUCCAAGGUGUUCUGUGGCCUCUCGGCCAAUCCCAGCAGCUCAGCGUGCAGAAGACCGAGGAGCCAUUGGAAUUCAACACAACACGAAAUAAUCAACAAAUUCGGGGAAUGUUAAUCUGACCAUCACCAGUUACAAAUGAUGUUUCAUGCUACCUUCUAUUCCUGCCUUCAUAAAUCAAGGUAAUUACUUGGCAAUCUGGCUAUGCCUUGUAAGGCAAAAGAGCUGUUCAUUUCUUGUGUCAAAUGGUGAACAGGGAGGGAGAGUAAAAUGGUAAAUAACCCUGCCUCCCAUCUGUGCCCAAUCAGCUCUAAAUCUCCAGGAAAAAAUGUGCUCAGGAUGGCCAGAGAAAUGUCCUUCCAACUGUGCAUGGAAAGGUAUGAUUUUGUGCAGCAGGUGAAGGACUGGUUAGAGUAAGUGUGUGCUGAGCUUUUGUGUUUGAAAGCGAGCCUGUGCACUUCUAACGAUUGGAAGGUUUCCUUGCCUUCUCCGAUCUUACACACAGCAAGGACAGCAAAGCCUUCCAGACCUGCCUGUGACAUGCACUGCACAUUCUAAAGAUGCCUAUGCAAUGGAAAACACCACUGUCUGCUCCAGCACAGCUGCCAUUCUUCCAUCUUAUCGACCUUAAUGCAACAACUCCUCACAGGCAGAGAUUUUAAAAUGUGUUCUUGGCAGAAGAGAGACUCAAAGAUGGGACAAAUGUGUCAUUUAAAUGCCUGUUAAAAUGGAAACAGACAUAGUAUAGUCAGAGGAUUGUGGCAGCUAAGAACAUAGUCUCUGGAGCAAAUCUGCAUGGGUGGCAAUGCCAAGCACAUGAGGUCCUAGUUGUAUGAACUUAGGAAAAGAAAAAGAGAACAUAUAUCCCCCUACCUUUUGAUUUCCAACAGUCUACUGAGAGGCCAAGAUUAUUUGCAGGGAAAGAAAAGGGGAAUGCCAUCCCCACCCUCUCGCAGCUACGUGCCAGUUCCAGAGCACCUGUUCCCCUCUACUUUGAAAAGGUCAAAAUGUUUUGCCAGUAACUCCCAAAUCAUCUACAGCCAAGGAGAAAAGUGUUUCAAGACAGAGGUGCUCAAUGGUAUCAAAUACUGCCAACAGACCAAGUAAUACAUGCAUUGAAGUGUCUACUGGAUCUAGCUAUAUGAAUUUUUAAUUUAGGACACUUAGGCCAUACUGAAGCAAGGUGACAAAAUGAAUAGCUACAAUGUCUCGUGAAUCUUGGGUUUCCAUUCACCCUGGUAUUCAAGAGAAAUUCUUGCAUCAUGGAAGUUGCAGUUGGAUAGGACUUUCUCAGCUGAACACUGUCAUCUGCCAGAGCUUCAGGCAAGAACCCAGAACAGAUGAAACCCCAGACAUGACAAAAUAAGCCAAAGAAUACCAGGCCAAGGUGUGAAAGGCCAGAUGAGAACAAGCAGCGUACACGAUUCUGUUGCCAACAGAUCUCCCCUAACAGUGUCGUGCACCAAAUUUCCACAGUGAAUGUCAGGAAAAAAUGGCAAUUGAGGUGGGUGGUCAAAAGAGAAGCACAGUCUAUGAUGAAGUCACCCCAGAGAAGUCCUUUUUCCGUUUUCUCCUGAGAAAUUACCAGAAGAAAUUAAAAUCCUUUUGAGUAUUGCA